rnacentral:rRNA from 1 species
GAUGAACGCUGGCGGCGUGCCUAAUACAUGCAAGUCGAGCGAACAGAUGAGGAGCUUGCUCCUCUGACGUUAGCGGCGGACGGGUGAGUAACACGUGGAUAACCUACCUAUAAGACUGGGAUAACUUCGGGAAACCGGAGCUAAUACCGGAUAAUAUAUUGAACCGCAUGGUUCAAUAGUGAAAGACGGUUUUGCUGUCACUUAUAGAUGGAUCCGCGCCGCAUUAGCUAGUUGGUAAGGUAACGGCUUACCAAGGCGACGAUGCGUAGCCGACCUGAGAGGGUGAUCGGCCACACUGGAACUGAGACACGGUCCAGACUCCUACGGGAAGCAGCAGUAGGGAAUCUUCCGCAAUGGGCGAAAGCCUGACGGAGCAACGCCGCGUGAGUGAUGAAGGUCUUCGGAUCGUAAAACUCUGUUAUUAGGGAAGAACAAAUGUGUAAGUAACUAUGCACGUCUUGACGGUACCUAAUCAGAAAGCCACGGCUAACUACGUG